rnacentral:rRNA from 1 species
CUACGGGGUGCACCAGUGGGGAAUAUUGCACAAUGGGCGCAAGCCUGAUGCAGCCAUGCCGCGUGUAUGAAGAAGGCCUUCGGGUUGUAAAGUACUUUCAGCGGGGAGGAAGGGAGUAAAGUUAAUACCUUUGCUCAUUGACGUUACCCGCAGAAGAAGCACCGGCUAACUCCGUGCCAGCAGCCGCGGUAAUACGGAGGGUGCAAGCGUUAAUCGGAAUUACUGGGCGUAAAGCGCACGCAGGCGGUUUGUUAAGUCAGAUGUGAAAUCCCCGGGCUCAACCUGGGAACUGCAUCUGAUACUGGCAAGCUUGAGUAUCGUAGGGGGGGGUAGAAUUCCAGGUGUAGCGGUGAAAUGCGUAGAGAUCUGGAGGAAUACCGGUGGCGAAGGCGGCCCCCUGGACGAAGACUGACGCUCAGGUGCGAAAGCGUGGGGAGCAAACAGGAUUAGAUACCCUUGUAGUC